UUUGCUAGAAACGUACGAGGUCUUUCGGAGUUUCAGAUGUGUUCGUCGCCUGUGCUCGCAUGACGCCUUUACAAGCCGUAACCGCCGCGCCGCCGCCUGUGGCUCUAGGCUGCACAUACACCUCGCCCCUUUGGCGAUCAGCCUCGAUCUGCACUGCGCACGCCAGCCAGCCGGCCCGCCAUGCGCCAUCCCCAAGGUAGAAGCCGUACUAAUCAAUCAUUCAAUCAAGGAAAGCUAAUGGAGAGGUGUUUAUCUGUCAAUGUUUAUAUGCUCUCUAUAUUCAAACAUAUUUCUUCUUCAUGCGGCUUGAAGGCUAGAAAUGAGGGGCAUACCAACAAAAAGGAAAGACAUAUUCAAGUUAUUGUGCCUCAAGUGGGAACUAGCGGUUGAAGGCAGCGUAGGAGUCGGAACUAGCAGUUGAAGGCAGCGUAAGAGUUGGACCGUGCUGCACCGCGAAGAACAGGGCGUGGGGGAAGCCCAUGCCCACAUCCUCGUGAAGCAACAAACUUGGGCCGCCCGUGCCCUCGCCGGCAUGCCUCCAGAAUCGGACGAGAUGUUUGUUGUCUUUGUUGUAGUAUAUGACGCCGUUGUUGAACUUUUGUUGUCCUAUGUCAUCCGAUGUUUGAACUAUGUCCUAUGUAUGCUACAUAUAUGUUGAUCGAUGUUCCAUAACUUUGUAUGGAUUUGAGGGUUCGUA